UUUCAUGUAUCAAAUGUUCACAAGUUUGAAUGUAUGAACCUCUAAAAUGAUGUGCUGCGAUCAAAACCAGUUAAAACUUUUAAAACGUGGAUUCAACAUGGAGGUGUGUCUGCUAGUGAUUCUUAUAAUUUCAGGUGUGUUUGCUGACAGCAUUAAACCAAAUGACAAGGAUACUAAUAUGAUCAAGACAGAAGGAGAGUCUGUGACACUGAGCUGCACAUAUGAUACAAGCAGCAAUUAUGUUUAUCUGUACUGGUACAGACAGUAUCUUAAUAAAGAACCUGAGUUUUUACUGUGGAAAGGUGCUCGAUCAUACAUCGAAAGAAAGAAUAUACCAGACUCUCGUUUUCAGUCGACUACAUCCCAAACAUCCACUGAAAUAACGAUUAAGACUACAACUCUGUCAGAUUCAGCUCUCUAUUACUGUGCUCUGAGAGUAGCAGCCCAGUGAUACAAAAUGCCUUGGUGGCUUUACAAAAACUCAAACACACAAUUAUUGCUUUAAAAGGCAGUAAUCAGAUGUCUAUAAUACCACAUGUACCACUGUGCCACACUGUAAAUAACAGAAUGUGGUAACA